AAAAUUUUCAAUACACACAAUUGAACAAUUCAACAUCAUUGCAAAAUGAUGCCAGAUUUGACAAAAUUACUGAUAUAUUACUUAAAAUACAAAAAGAAAACCGAAUUUUAAAGGCUGAAGUUGUGGAGCUAAAGCUUUCUAUUACCAAAUUGGCAGAGGAAGUGAUUACCGUAAAAUUAGAAAAUAGAAAACUUCACAGCACCAGAGGGCAACACACGAAUGAUUUGCCAGACUUCAGAAGCCUUCCAUUCACCAACAUCAAUGAAAUUACCAACUUUGAUAACGACGUACAGCAGGAUAAUGAAAAUUACAACAAUUUAAACAAUUUAUAGGGAAAACUGGUGGAGAAGGACCAACUCAAUUUUUGAGGGCAGCAAUUCGAAACGUAUUUUCUGACGAAUUGGCUACCUUAUAUAGUUGGAAAGGAACCAGCACAAAGCCAAGCGCUGAAAAGUGCUUCCUUAUAGCAAUAAUUAAAAAUAUUUACCACCUAAAAUACAAUUGUACAGAUGAGGACAUGAACAUGGUUUUUCGUACAUGUCAAAGACCGUG